rnacentral:misc_RNA from 1 species
UCAAUUCAUUUCUGGGUAGUGCGUGCAGUGCGGUGUGUGUCACAUUGAUGAAUCGACGAAGAAAGAAAAUGAAUUCGACGUAGUUUUGCGCUAAAUUGCGAUCAUCCCGGUUAUCCAUAAAAUCGUCCCGCAGCCCCGACCACGCCUAAAAUCCCGAAAAAGUCGACGGGAAUCGGGUUCAAAUACCGUUCUAAGGUUACGUCAAAAAAAAACGGGCAAGUCGCUCGGAUGGUAGUGGUAACAUGGCGGCCUGAAAGACGUAUUUUGUUAAUGUCUUUUGUUGUGUAAAUUCCGGAUUUUUUAAUCGAAAUGGAGCUCAGGGUGGGCAACAAGUACAGAUUGGGGAGGAAAAUAGGAUCCGGGUCCUUUGGGGACAUUUACUUAGGAACUAAUAUAUCAACAGGGGAAGAGGUAGCAAUUAAGUUAGAAUGUAUCAAAACAAGGCAUCCUCAAUUACACAUAGAAUCAAAAUUUUACCGGAUGAUGCAAGGGGGAGUGGGAAUUCCACAAAUGAAAUGGUGCGGCUCAGAAGGUGAUUAUAAUGUAAUGGUGAUGGAGCUCCUAGGACCGUCUUUGGAAGAUCUAUUCAAUUUCUGUUCAAGAAGGUUCUCCCUUAAGACGGUGUUACUUUUGGCCGACCAGCUGAUCUCACGUACUGAUUUUAUCCAUUCGCGAAAUUUUAUACAUAGAGAUAUUAAGCCUGACAAUUUCCUAAUGGGUCUAGGAAAGAAGGGCAACUUAGUUUAUAUUAUAGAUUUUGGAUUAGCUAAGAAAUAUAGGGACGGACGCACCCACCAGCACAUACCAUAUAAGGAAAAUAAAAAUUUGACAGGUACGGCGAGGUACGCGAGCAUAAACACCCAUUUAGGCAUCGAACAGUCCAGGAGAGACGAUCUCGAAUCGCUCGGCUACGUCCUUAUGUAUUUUAAUAGAGGUUCUUUACCAUGGCAGGGCUUGAAGGCCGCCACCAAACGCCAAAAGUACGAAAGGAUUUCCGAAAAGAAGAUCUCUACGCCUAUUGAGGAAUUGUGCAAGGGUUAUCCAGCCGAGUUUCCCACAUAUUUAACCUACUGCAAGCAACUGAGGUUUGAAGAACGUCCUGAUUACAGUUACCUUAGGCAAUUAUUUAGAACUCUGUUCCAUAGACAAGGGUUCACUUACGAUUACGUGUUUGAUUGGAAUCUGCUCAAAUUCGGUGGUUCGCGGGGCAGCCACUGCGAGGAAAACGCAGGCGGACGGUCGGGAACGGCCGCCGCGGCCGCAGCGCGCUACGGUUCAAUGGCGCACGCUACCGGAGCCGCGGGGGCCGGAGAUUCCGUUCCGGCGCAGCAGCAACAACAGCAACGAGGUCGUAGGGCGCACGACGGACCCGCGCCCCAUCCUCUAGAGGACGUCAUAACUAGCAAUACUUCUCGGCUAUUCGAUAGUCACGAGAGGAGGGUGUCGAUGAGGUUAAGACAAGCGGCCCCGAACGCCUCCACUUCCGACUUGAGCACCUCCAAGCAGGCCAACCUCUCGGAUUGGAUAAAAGCCCUACCGCCUAAAUUUAGUAAAGAUUAGACAGACCUCUUAUAUUAAAAAUGAAAUUAGAAGAAAGGAGUGAAUUCGCACAGCGCCAGUAAAAGGUCGAAAGUAAAAAUAGCCCAUUAGUCAAUCAACUUUUGAAGAUUCGGUGCGGCUGAAAGAAUUUUUAAUUAGUAGUGGGCUGGCUGCCUUCUGAAUUACUGUGACAAAUAUUAUGUUAACCUUAUUAUAUUUUCAUACAGUGUAAUGUACUAUACAGAGACAUGGAGUCAUUUUAGGUAAAAAAAUAAAUUAUAUUAGUAAGUUUA